AAGAAACUGAGACGUUCAUUUAUCAAAAUUUGGAGAAUUUACAAAAUCUGUCAAUGAGCGGAAAAAAAGGAGCACACUAUUCUCAGUUUUUUACUAAAUGUCCUUGGAUCUUCUGGGCUUUUGUUUUUUCAUGAAGUAUUUUUGCAGAAGACAAAGGGAGAGGAGAAAGGCAUUUUUCCCUACUGCCUUUAUUUCCCUAAUGUGUCAAAUUAAUAGCAAAUUUUCGUGUGCCUGUACUAUCAGAAGAAGCAAAUGUUAAGUGAGAGAACAUUUAUCUGACACUGCCCUCUUUACUAGGCUUUUUUUUUUUUUUUUUUUUUUUUUAGAAAUCAUGCUAUUCUGUAGACUGUUUUCAGUUAACCCAUGUCAUUCCUGAAAUACAGUUCUCCAAAGUGGACACAGCAGCAGGAUCACAGGAUCUGGAAAGGAUGCAGGCUAAUCUGGGCUGGAAGGGACCUCGGAGGUCUCCAGGCCAACCUGCUGCUCAAAGCACCUGAGACCAGAUUACGCAGGGCUGUGUCCAGUCAGGUCUUGAAAAACUCCAAGUACCCUAGGAUGAAGCUGAUGAGACCGGCCGUAUUUUCUAAAUCUGUAAUUAUUCUCAUGUCUGCGGAACUGUGGACCAAAGGAUUUAUCAGGAAUUUAAUGACACUGAAGGCCCACCAGUCUGCUCCCAGAACAUCUACCCAUAAGAGGACAGGCCAUGGUCAUUCAGCUGCACAGACACCUCCUAAGUGUCCACCUCAUUCCAGCAUCCCUGGAGAUGCCUCAAGUCAGCAUUGCUACAAGCACAUACCACCCUCUUAUGAAAAAGCAAAAAAACUCCACUCUGUUUCAUCUCCGUCUGGUCAUCUCAGGCAGAUUCUUCUCUGGUUCUACCAGUUCUCGCACACUCAAGAUUUUAGUGUCAUGACAUUGAAAUCAAUGUAAAUAUGUGUGUCUGGAGUGCUCUCUGCUCUGGGUCUCAUCGCUUCAGGUAAAUUCAGGUUUCAAAGCUUCUAGUCACCUUCCCCUAGGCCAGUACAAUCUGUCUGUAACAUUUUUGGUAAUUAAUGUCUGGUAACCAAAAAACCUCCAGUAUGUUAUGUAUAUAAAAGCAAAAGCAAAAGCAUCRCUAGAGCUAUUGUAAUUUGAGAAGGCUGGGUGAAAAGGAAGGGGAUGAAGAGCUGGACGAUUCUUGUUGCUUUAAGAAAGUAAUGCUGCUGCAGAUUUCUAGUUCAGAGAGUCCUACAGGAUUAAUUCAUGUCAAGAGAGCCCCUUCAAACCAUCAUUAAAAAUGAAGAAAUGUCUGACCUGUUCGUCAUUGGUAAGUGCAGUUUGCUUUCAUGCAUAUUUAUAUAUCUAUAUGUAUAAGUAUUCACCACCAACUUUGUUUUCUUGUUUCCUGUACAAAAGUUUGAUACGUGACAAGUCAGUGGUGUUUCAGGAACACYGCUGCUUCGGGUACAUGAAACAAAAAAGACAAUUAGAUGGCACAGUUGUAGCAUGACAUAUUAAAUUCCCUUUUAACUUACAGCUUUCAAUUUUACACUUGAAAAAAAUGCAAAUGUAUAUUCUCAUAUCAAAAGAUGCAAUGGGUAGUCAGAUUAUGACUACCAAUUAUAUUCCAGACGUGAGGUUUCUUGCAGCAGCAAAUGUUUCUUUUAUAGUCUAUAAAAUUUUACAAGAUUUAGUUUGGGCCAACUUGGAGUUCUCUAACUUUUUUUUUCAAAAACAUCCUUUUAGUCAACCACAAAAUACCUGGKUUUUUUUUAAUGACUUUGAAACUUUUAAACGCUUAUACUGAAACUUCUGCUACAAAAACUUAUCAAAAAGUAAUACAGAAAGCAAUAUACUGCUUUUCCAAGUUAGAAAACAUAAACUUACAGUGAAAGGGUYAUAAUCCAUUUCCCUCUAUAAUGUCACAAAUAAAAGAAAAAUGACAUUUUAGGCUACUCCA
rnacentral:lncRNA from 1 species